GGUUGAAGGGAGUGGAUCAAGAACUCAAGAAGUGGGAAGCAAAAAUUUUGGAGCACAAGGAACUCCUAGUAAUAAUAAAGGUGAAAACAACCGUGGCAUCUCAAACAAGAAUACUAGUGUCAAUUAUCAGAAUGAGACAGUGGAACCCAGUUACUUCAGCUCUUCAAUCUACUAUGGUGGUCAAGAAAAUUAUUCCCCAAGAAGCAGGACCACUCAACCCCACCAACUUUUUAAGAAAGAUAAGAAUAAUGGUGACCCCAAUGGUAACAAUUCAAACAGCGCUUCAAGAGGAGACUGGUGGGAAGGUUCCCUUUAUUACUAAAGUCAUGGUAUCAUAGUAUUAGAACUUAACAUCCUGCAGGAUGAAGAUCGACUACAUAAGUUGGAGAAUGCUCUAUUUAGUUAUAUGAAAAUACAUAAGUUAAAGUAAUAUAGUUUAGACCGUAUGAGUUAUACCCUUUUAUCUUACUAGUUGGGUCUAUUUUUGUCCCAGAUAUUGGGUAUAUAUAAUUAGCUAAACCGAAAAUGUAGCUUGGGGCCAAGUCUAUUGUGUGCUUUGAUUGUAGUAGUUUUUAUAUAUAAAAAUAAAAUAAAAUAAAGGUUUUAUAUUAAUGAUUC